rnacentral:rRNA from 1 species
UACAGAGGUGGCAAGCGUUGUUCGGAAUUACUGGGCGUAAAGGGCGCGUAGGCGGCUUGGUCAGUCCCGUGUGAAAUCCCUCGGCUCAACUGAGGAACUGCACGGGAAACUGCCUGGCUUGAGUUCGGGAGAGGGAAGCGGAAUUCCGGGUGUAGCGGUGAAAUGCGUAGAGAUCCGGAGGAAUACCAGAGGCGAAGGCGACUUGCCAGGUCUCACCUGACACUCAGACGCGAAAGCAUGGGGAGCGAACGGG